UGGGGCCACUGGAGACGCUGUCAGUGGCUGUGGAGCUGGGGUGAGAUGAGAUGCAGCUGAACUUGGGUUUGAGGUCUGGAAAAGUGCAGUGUCUAGAAUUGAAACUGAUAAAAACUGAGUGUUGAGACACCCACAGAGGAGAGUCAAGUACCUUACCCAAACGUGCAUGGGAGGAGACUCUGGACGCCCCGAAGUUCGGUAAAGGUGACCCCAAAGACCUCUCAGCCGUUGUGCUGCUGAUAUCUAAGGUAAUGACUCAGCAGAACACCUAUGGGGCAUAAUGAGUGAGAAAGGAGAAGUCAGGAGGCCAAGAACUGGGUGGGGUAUUCAUCCCACACAGGCAGAGGAAGUCAGGUGGCCUGCUGUUCCAGACAGAAACUGGAACUGAGAGGGUGAACUGUG
rnacentral:lncRNA from 1 species